rnacentral:rRNA from 1 species
GAACCUUACCUACUCUUGACAUCCAGAGAACUUUCCAGAGAUGGAUUGGUGCCUUCGGGAACUCUGAGACAGGUGCUGCAUGGCUGUCGUCAGCUCGUGUUGUGAAAUGUUGGGUUAAGUCCCGCAACGAGCGCAACCCUUAUCCUUGUUUGCCAGCGAGUAAUGUCGGGAACUCCAGGGAGACUGCCGGUGAUAAACCGGAGGAAGGUGGGGACGACGUCAAGUCAUCAUGGCCCUUACGAGUAGGGCUACACACGUGCUACAAUGGCGCAUACAGAGGGCAGCCAACUUGCGAAAGUGAG